AUUGAACGCUGGCGGCAGGCCUAACACAUGCAAGUCUGGCGAGCGGCGGACGGGUGAGUAAUGUAUGGGGACUGCCUGAUGGAGGGGGAUAACUACUGGAAACGGUAGCUAAUACCGCAUACUAUCGGAUAACCCAUAUGGGAUUAGCUAGUAGGUGGGGUAAAGGCUCACCUAGGCGACGAUCUCUAGCUGGUCUGAGAGGAUGAUCAGCCACCCUGGGACUGAGACACGGCCCAGACUCCGACGGAGGCAGCAGUGGGGAAUAUUGCACAAUGGGCGCAAGCCUGAUGCAGCCAUGCCGCGUGUAUGAAGAAGGCCUUCGGGUUGUAAAGUACUUUCAUUCGGGAGGCGUUACCGACAGAAGAAGCACCGGCUAACUCCGUGCCAGCAGCCGCGGUAAUAC
rnacentral:rRNA from 1 species